CUGCUGAUGCCAGGCCGAUUCUUAUAAAGCCUUACAGUUACUGGAAAAAAAAGGGAAAGUGAAAGCUUAGUUUUUUUGUUUGUUUUUUCCUGGGGAGGAGCUUCAGUUGGACAUUAUAAAAAUCAAUUCAGAGGCUUUCUGCAACUACAGAAGACAAGCACAUUCAGGAGGAAACCAAAAUAACAUUUACAGAAGAUCCUAGCGCUGCACGCAGAGCUUCCUGACAACCAGACAAAAAGCCCAAGAGCUACAGACUGAGACUGAUCAGGAUGAGGAGAACGAGGCAGGACUUGAAUAAUGACAGGCCGGUUCCCAGGACAGGAGGACGGAGUCCGUCGACCACAGGGAGAGCUUGCGGUGGACGAGAGUCUGGCCCAGGACUCAACUGCAAACCAGAAACAAAAACAAACAGUCAUUGGCCACUAUCACAGAAAAAAACAAGCCAUUGUCCAGGUGAGUACACUAUCAGUUAUUUCUCACAUUUGAGUAAUAUUUCACAACAUUGCU
rnacentral:lncRNA from 1 species